GGGGUGGAGAAAAGGGAGGUCAUUCUCCAAAGUGUUAUAUGUAUGGUAAGAGAGCAAAGACUGUGAAAACAAAUAUAUCCGUUGACUAAAAUGUUCUAAAGGAAUGGAUUCCGUUCAUUGCGUUUGGAUAUCUUCUGGUUUCUGGAAUUGAGCUAUCACCAGGAUUUGAAGGGUCUUUGAAGCUUGUUGAGUGGUUGUAGAGCAUUAAAACAAUCCAUUCACAGAGCUGCAUGUAAAUUGGUAUAUGAAGAAAAUUGAAUUUACUGAUGGCAUCCACUUCAUCCGUUAAUAACAACAUAUACAGAUACAUUUCAAUUGGUGCAAAAGGAGGAGACACAUCAAAUCUGAAACCUUUCUUGUUCUUGUAGCAACUUAUGUUACCCAUCAGGAAUCUUAAACCUUUGGCACUGGAGAUGUUGGGGACUAAUAUCCUAUGAUGGUCAUGUAAAGUUUAACCUUACAGAUCUUAGUUGCGCUCUACAUCCACGUUGAAACAAGUCCUUUGAAGUUACUGAAGAACAUGUAUGAUCGUGCAAGGCCAUUAUCAAUAAAAACACGAUUGCACACAAAACCAGGCUUGCUUUACGUUCAAGUUGGUCUAACUUUUUCCCUUUUUUUUUUUUUUUUAAACUUUUUUGUUGUUGAUUUUGCCCUCCCCUAGUUGGGACAUUGUAAAUACUCUUUGUAAUACUGAAAACAUAAUUGGUUGAUACUGGAGAGUUUUAGCAUGAAGGGCAUUUUUCAUUAUAAAAAUAAAUAAAUAAAAUAAAAAAUAAUAAUAAUUAUGAUUAUGUACCACAAUUGACUUGCAUACAUCGGGAUCAUGCACUGCCCACAGGCUCUUAACAUCUGUUUAUUUAAACCAAAGCAAAUAGAAAAACGUUCACAGAUUGUGUCAAAUGCUAUACGAAUUCCUGGUUGUUGGUUUUGUUCACGUUUCAUUGUGAAGUCUGGCUUGGCUGUUAUCGGUAAAACACAUAUAUUUUGGAUUUUAGUUCUGUAUGGGAUCAUUCCACCAUUAACAUAUUUUUUUUUUUCUUUUUAAAUAUAUCUUUAUUGAAAGACACUUCUACAGUAGGUACCAAAUGCAGUUGAACCCUUCUAUGAAAAGGUCUAUGCAGGUUAAUGAUAAAUUCCCUUCUAGUGCUAAUGUAUAUUGUUGUACAGAAGUCAUUUUCAGUUAUUCAUGUGUUGUCAGCAGCUAUUAUUUUUUUCUUGUACAAAUGUUUAAAGUAUGGCUUUUUCUAAGUUGAAAAUUGAAUUUUUAUUUUUAUUUUUUAACGUCUCCUUUGAUGGCGCUAUUAUUUGCUGCUAAAUAACAUUGCUUUUACUUCUGCAGAACAAUAGAAUUUUGUCCUUUUUUCAAGAAAUAUUAAAAAAGGCAAGUUGGGUAAUGUUGUAUACAAACUGGGAUUUUUCAUUAACUUUCAAGCAUGUGUAAAACAUACAGUACUGUAGAUCCCUCUAUGUUCUAUUUACUAGGGUGCGUUGUUUUGUUAAGGAGACUUUUUUUGGUUAUUUUUCUCACUCAAAUGAUCCUCUGUGCAGGUAGACAUUGUAAAAAUUAUAUGUGUGUGUGUGUGUAUAUAUAUAUAUGUAUAUACACACACAUUUCUCAUGGCUUAACAUGCUUAGAAUAUUUUUUUUUUGGACAGCCUAAAUUAAGCUUGAUAAUUUUUUUUAGGAUGUUUUCCUUUGCUACAAGGAGACCCACCAGUGUCAGAAUAGGCAGCAAAGCACCAUUUUGCACUAAUUUGCAUAUUUCUGUCACGUUAAAGGGGUGGGUCCUUUAAACUGUCACAUUCACAAUAAACUGUGUAAUUUUGUUCAUGUUACAAAAAAAGAAGUUGUAUCAACGCAGGUUAUCAUUUAAUAUUGUACAGUUAGCUGCGGCUCUUGUUUCCAAUGUUGCAAGCUAUUUCAUUUUUCCAUUGUACAUAAAUAUACAUUAACUGUCUCUUUAAGAUGCUGCUGAAAUUGUAGAGAAUGUAGCCAAAACCGUAAUAAACAAUGAAAGUUGAAAUUUCAAAUAAUCUUUCUCUGUUUGUUUUUUUUUUUAAAUAUAUUUAUAGUAGGAUAACAAGUGAAAUAGUCCCUGAGUAACUAAGAAA
rnacentral:lncRNA from 1 species